UGCACUGAUUAUAGAUAACAAUAUUUAAUGGGGACUUUUAUGUAUUGUCUGAUUUGUAAAGACAAAGAACUCUUACUAAUAUUAAUUAAUGAUUAAAAAUACCAUAAAUUGACCGAACUACAAAGUAAGUCUUACUUCAAUUAAGGCAACACGCAGCGGUGGGGCAGCUGGAAAUUUAUAUUAACCAAUUAGGUGCAUGUGUUUUUUGAGAAAAUAAGUUAAAAAGUUUUUUAAAAGAAUCAAAAUCAAUCAUAAAAUUCCCUUAUUUUCUCCAAGUGCCGACAUGCAGAUGUGGGCGCCGUUGCCGCAACAUCGAGAGCGCGGAAAUCCAGACAUUCCAGAAUCGGGCCGCUAAAGUGCUCUCCCUGGUUAUAUUUCGCUCUCCGCGCACACACACAUGAUCGAGUUGGAUCCGAUUCGACAACUCCACCAGCGGCAGCCCCACUCCCCCACUCCCUGGCCGAGCGGGUGAGUGAGUAAUGCGGCGUCGGCGUCUGCUCGACUCGAUUCGAUCGAUGCAAAUGGCUCUGCUGUAAUUCCGAUCGGGGCAAUCUCCGGUCGAGCGGUUAUCAGUUGACCGCGGCCACUGGGGGCCAUUGCGUCAUCUGGCUGGGCGCACUCUGUUUGCGUACAACGAUCGUGACCGAGUCCGUAAUGAGAUCCGCACACAAAUUGCGCCGCCUGAGGAAAUCACUUUCACUCUCGUUUUCGUCGCCGGAACAUAAUCCGCCAGGUAGAUCACUCUCAGUUGACCAAGAUGUCGCGUCGGAUCGCUUUCCUGCUGCUGCUCCUGGGAGGCACCCUGGUGCAGGCUCACUAUUAUUACGACUACGGCUACUGGGAGAUCAACGAGCCACCACCGCUCUGCUCCGACUAUGAGAUGCUGGUGGUUAAUACCCACCAGUGCGUGAGACGCUGCAACAUUGUUUGCCGGAACGGCAUCUGCUUUGAGGACGGACCCUGCCCGUGUGCCGACCAGUAUAUGGGGGCGAAUCCGGACGGACUGGUCUGUGCCGCCGAGUGCUUGCCCGGUUGCCAGGCGGCCGGUGGCUACUGUGCCGCCCCGGAUCUUUGCGUGUGCCGCAAGGACAGGCACUACUACUUCGAUCCUCUGUUUCAAAAGUGCCGGCAUAGGGCUGCCCGUCUUCUGGAUCCCUGCCUGGGGCGCUGUACUCAUGGCACCUGCUCCACCGACGGCCAGUGCACCUGUGCCCAGGGCUACGAGUUGCGGGCCACCCUGCUCCACGGGCAACAGUGCAUGCCCAUCUGUGAUCAUGACUGUGGACCCCAUGCCUACUGCUUCGCGCCCAACUUGUGUGCCUGCCGGCACAAGCACCUCCAUUAUGCUCGCAACGGCAUCUGCUCCAGGGACUAUUGACUCUGGGAUCAAGUCAGCUGCAACAGCCGGGGGCUGUUUUAGGUUCCCGUUAACGUCUUCCAGCCGAAAUUGCUGCAUUUCCGCGCAGAGGCAUCAACAGCAGCAGCGACAGCGGCACUCG